rnacentral:rRNA from 1 species
GAACGCUGGCGGCGUGCUUAACACAUGCAAGUCGAACGUGAUUUUUGUGGAAAUUCUUUCGGGAAUGGAAAUGAAAUGAAAGUGGCGAACGGGUGAGUAACACGUGAGCAACCUACCUUACACAGGGGGAUAGCCGUUGGAAACGACGAUUAAUACCGCAUGAGACCACAGAAUCGCAUGAUAUAGGGGUCAAAGAUUUAUCGGUGUAAGAAGGGCUCGCGUCUGAUUAGCUAGUUGGAAGGGUAAAGGCCUACCAAGGCGACGAUCAGUAGCCGGUCUGAGAGGAUGAACGGCCACAUUGGAACUGAGACACGGUCCAAACUCCUACGGGAGGCAGCAGUGGGGAAUAUUGCACAAUGGGGGGAACCCUGAUGCAGCGACGCCGCGUGAGCGAAGAAGGUUUUCGAAUCGUAAAGCUCUGUCCUAUGAGAAGAUAA